GACGAACCGUGCGAACGUUAUUCGGAAUCAUUGGGCUUAAAGCGCGUGUAGGCGGCCCGGCACGUCAGUCGCUGAAAUCCCCCGGCUCAACCGGGGAAGUGGCGUUGAUACGACCGGGCUGGAGGGGGGUAGGGGAAUCGGGAACUCACGGUGGAGCGGUGAAAUGCGUAGAGAUCGUGAGGAACGCCCGCGGCGAAAGCGCGGUUCUGGACCCCACCUGACGCUGAGACGCGAAAGCCAGGGGAGCGAACGGG
rnacentral:rRNA from 1 species